rnacentral:rRNA from 1 species
CGGGUGAGUAACACGUGGAUAACCUACCUAUAAGACUGGGAUAACUUCGGGAAACCGGAGCUAAUACCGGAUAAUAUAUUGAACCGCAUGGUUCAAUAGUGAAAGACGGUUUUGCUGUCACUUAUAGAUGGAUCCGCGCUGCAUUAGCUAGUUGGUAAGGUAACGGCUUACCAAGGCAACGAUGCGUAGCCUACCUGAGAGGGUGAUCGGCCACACUGGAACUGAGACACGGUCCAGACUCCUACGGGAGGCAGCAGUA